UAAACUGAAGAGUUUGAUCAUGGCUCAGAUUGAACGCUGGCGGCAGGCUUAACACAUGCAAGUCGAGCGGGGAAGGGUAGCUUGCUACCUAACCUAGCGGCGGACGGGUGAGUAAUGCUUAGGAAUCUGCCUAUUAGUGGGGGACAACAUUCCGAAAGGAAUGCUAAUACCGCAUACGUCCUACGGGAGAAAGCAGGGGAUCUUCGGACCUUGCGCUAAUAGAUGAGCCUAAGUCGGAUUAGCUAGUUGGUGGGGUAAAGGCCUACCAAGGCGACGAUC
rnacentral:rRNA from 1 species